CUUAUUGUAGAAAAUGCUUCUAUGAUAAUAUUAACAGCAUGUUUAGUUGGCUGUAAUACCUAUGCAUUACAGCUCAAUUUAGUGGGCUCAUUAUUAAACCAUUGUUUGGUUGGCUGUAAUAAGCUAUUACAGCCCAAUUUGUUACAGGCUUAUUCAGGGCAAAAAUGCUAUUCAUUCGGUGGUCUCCCCACGGAAUGACGAUUCGGAGAAUGGGUGGGUAAGAAAUUAGCUAAAGCUUUCAAUUUUACCUUCACCAUUAUCCUUUCUUUCUCGCGUCUAAAAUAUUUUCCUUUCUUUUUCAUGCUUCUUCCUUCCACUGUAAUAUCAACAAAUUCCCAAUUUAUCAAUUUAAACCUUUUUUUAAUCCCAUUUCCUCCGAACUCAAUCUGCAUUUUCUCUUCUUCUUCAACUCUUCCUCUCUUCAAUAUAUUGCCAUCCCACUUGUAGCUAACUAGAAUCUUUCCUUCACCAAACGACUUUUCCUUUGAAACCUAAAAAUCCCUUCUUCUUCUUCUUCUUUUUUUUUUUGCUUAAACAAGUUUCGAUCUCUUUUUUUUUUAAUUAUUGAUUUAUUCUUAUUGAUAAAAAUGGCACUUGAAUACUCAAUUUUCAGCCAACCCACUUUCAUUUAUUCAACAAAUUCCUCAUCUUUCAUUUUUUUAAUCGAAAUUUGAAGAACCAAUCAAAGUUUUUACCCAAAACCAAUCACUACCCAGCUCUUGUUAUCUCCACCUGUUCAAAUCCCCAAGCUUUGAAAGCUUUUGGAUUCCCCAAAAAAGGUAGUUUUGGUCACGUGGGAUCGUUGAGGGAAGAAAAUGAAGGUGUGGGGAAUGAUCGAAAAUGGUUUUGGUGAAAAGGGGUAUUUUGGUGGCAAUGGUUUGUGGUGUAUUGGUGUUUGGAUGCAAAAAAGUUUUUGCUGUAGAUGGAGUGGCUAAUGCUGGUUAUGAAGUUAUUGGGCAGUGCAUAUUGUUGUUGAGGAAUGCUUGGCCUAAGGCAUCUAUGAUUCUUAAAGUGUUUAAGGAACAAGGUAUGGUUUUGACAGCUCUUUUGGGUCUUUCAGCUUUCUUCUCGAUGGCAGAGACUGCUAUAACCACAUUAUAGCCUUGGAAGGGAUGGAGACUUUGAGGUCUGCUUUACAGAGGUUAUACAUGACAAGGGCUUCUGCAUAUAGAGAUGCUCUUAAGAGUUUCAUAGAAGGAUAUCAAGAAGGUAUCCAACAGAUCAUGGAUAAAAACAAAGAUUCUUCUAAAGCACAUCAAGAAGGCAAUACUGAUAAAAAUUCAACUUGAUGGCUGAUAAGUGCAUAAUCGGAGAUGCAUGUGAGUACUUCUCUAGCAUACCUAUUGUAGAUACAAGUUUAGAGAUUUGGUGGAGCUAAGUCGGUAUGAAAUCACAAGAAUGAUACAUGUCCUGAGAAUUUUCCUGUAUUGAGAAAGUGACCUUUAGAAACUACAAAAUAAUGGGAAUCUCCAUUGACAAUGGUGAUGCUCUUUCCUUCUCGUCAUUUGAUGUUUAUUAAUUUUUGUUGUAGUUUAAUAUUCAACGUGCUUGAGCUUGGAGAAAUGUAAAAGAACCUUAAUGCUUUAUGUCUUUGUUAAGUGCAACUGAAGAAUUACUUAGAUAUCUGCUGCCAGCUGCUGGAUGAUCUAGUCUGAUGAAUGAGUUUUAGUCUGUUUAUUUUUUCUACUUCUAGUUUCAAUACAUUAACUCUGUUAAUCUAAGUUUGAGGUGAUGUAAA